rnacentral:rRNA from 1 species
AUUGAACGCUGGCGGCAGGCCUAACACAUGCAAGUCGAACGGAGUGGCGGACGGGUGAGUAAAGUCUGGGAAACUGCCUGAUGGAGGGGGAUAACUACUGGAAACGGUAGCUCAUACCGCAUACUAUCAGAUGAGCCUAGGUCGGAUUAGUUAGUUGGUGGGGUAAAGGCCUACCAAGGCGACGAUCCGUAACUGGUCUGAGAGGAUGAUCAGGCACACUGGAACUGAGACACGGUCCAGACGCCUACGGGAGGCAGCAGUGGGGAAUAUUGGACAAUGGGCGAAAGCCUGAUCCAGCCAUGCCGCGUGUGUGAAGAAGGUCUUCGGAUUGUAAAGCACUUUAAGUUGGGAGGCGUUACCAACAGAAUAAGCACCGGCUAACUUCGUGCCAGCAGCCGCGGUAAUAC